GUUCCAGCCGCCGCGGUAAUACGUAGGGUGCAAGCGUUAAUCGGAAUUACUGGGCGUAAAGCGUGCGCAGGCGGUUAUGUAAGACAGGUGUGAAAUCCCCGGGCUUAACCUGGGAAUUGCAUUUGUGACUGCAUGGCUAGAGUGUGUCAGAGGGGGGUAGAAUUCCACGUGUAGCAGUGAAAUGCGUAGAUAUGUGGAGGAAUACCGAUGGCGAAGGCAGCCCCCUGGGAUAACACUGACGCUCAUGCACGAAAGCGUGGGGAGCAAACAGGAUUAGAAACCCUAGUAGUCC
rnacentral:rRNA from 1 species